CCUCGGUCACCCAGCACUCGUCGCUGGAUCAAUGUUCUGUAUGCGGGACUGUUUAAAAUCUUGUGCAUCCUGAGAAAUGCAACCUUCGUCAACGCGACCAGAUCGUGACAGAACAGUCCUACAUCCAGCCAAUGCGCCUGCUGCUCCAGUUCUGCAAACAUCAACAUCUUCCUCUCAAGUGGGUCCGACACCAUCAUCGUCGCCUCCAGUGGAUCUUCCGACAACGCCACCAUCCUCACCUCCAGUGGGUCUUCCGACCACGCCAUCAUCCUCGCCUCCAGUGGGUCUUCCGACAACGUCAUCAUCCUCGCCUCCAGUGGGUCUUCCGACAACGCCACCAUCCGCCUCCAGUGGGUCUUCACACGAUGCCAACAUCCUCGCCUCCAGUGGGUCUUCAGACGACACCACCAUCCUCGCCUCUAAUGGGUCUUAAGACGACGCCACCAUCCUAACCUAGUGAUAUUUUGACACAAAAACAAAUGUUUAAAAACUUGGAAGUUUGCCUUCAAAAAAAUGUAACCUUCGUCAACACGACCAGAUCGUGACAGAACAGUCCUACAUACAGCCAAUGCGCCUGCUGCUCCAGUUCUGCAAACAUCAACAUCUUCCUCUCAAGUGGGUCCGACACCAUCAUCCUUGCCUCCAGUGGGUCUUCCGACAACGCCACCAUCCUCACCUCCAGUGGGUCUUCCGACCACGCCACCAUCCUCGCCUCCAGUGGGUCUUCAGACAAUGCAAACAUUCUCGCAUCCAGUGGGUCUUCAGACAAUGCCAACAUCCUUGCAUCCAGUGGGUCUUCAGACAAUGCCAACAUCCUCGCAUCCAGUGGGUCUUCAGACAAUGCCAACAUCUUCGCAUCCAGUGGGUCUUCAGACGACGCCAACAUCCUCGCCUCCAGUGGGUCUUAAGACGACGCCACCAUCCAGCCUAGUGAUAUUUUGACACAAAAAUAAAUGAUUAAAAAAGGCAGAAUUACGCAUUUUUGCAGACAUUUUACUUGUCUGAGAUUGGUGUCCUAUCGUA